rnacentral:lncRNA from 1 species
CAUUUACCACUUGUAUCGUAUUAUGUGCUUUCCUACUCGAGAAUGCAUCGGGCGUCUGGCUGUAGAAGGUAGUAUGGAGAUUCGCUAAUAUUCAAGCAAUCUAUCGGUUUUUGACUAUUAGAAUAUAAACAAUUAUAAGAAUAUACUGUAAAUCUAUACGGAUGUCCUUCGACUGCUUGCCAAAAUCCUUUUUGCCUCAGCGAGAAGGUCUCUAGACGUUACAGAGAACUCCAAAUAAUCCAAUCUGCUAAUCUUCGAUACCGCUUUAUAUUCACGACCUUGUAUCUACUGACUAUUUUGUUAGAUUAACCCAAAAAAUUUCAUUCACUCCGCAUACUCAAUCCUAUAGACACCCUUUUAAUUCUUCAAUCACAGACGUAACUUCAAUUUCACAAAACAGUCAAGAGUAAUCACACCCACUUCAUUAAAACCCCGAUUCACUAGUACAACACAUCGACCUUUCAGCAUUGAUCGCCAAAAGUCCCUUUUCUGACCU